rnacentral:rRNA from 1 species
AAUAGAUACCCGGGUAGUCCACGCCGUAAGCGAUGAGUGCUAAGUGUUAGAGGGUUUCCGCCCUUUAGUGCUGCAGCAAACGCAUUAAGCACUCCGCCUGGGGGAGUACGGUCGCAAGACUGAAACUCAAAGGAAUUGACGGGGGCCCGCACAAGCGGUGGAGCAUGUGGUUUAAUUCGAAGCAACGCGAAGAACCUUACCAGGUCUUGACAUCCUUAUGACUUCUCUAGAGAUAGAGCUUUCCCUUCGGGGACAUAAGUGACAGGUGGUGCAUGGUUGUCGUCAGCUCGUGUCGUGAGAUGUUGGGUUAAGUCCCGCAACGAGCGCAACCCUUGACCUUAGUUGCCAGCAUUCAGUUGGGCACUCUAAGGUGACUGCCGGUGACAAACCGGAGGAAGGUGGGGAGUGACGUCAAAUCAUCAUGCCCCUUAUGACCUGGGCUACACACGUGCUACAAUGGAUGGUACAAAGGGUCGCGAAACCGCGAGGUGGAGCUAAUCCCAAAAAACCAUUCUCAGUUCGGAUUGCAGG